rnacentral:rRNA from 1 species
UGCCAGCAGCCACGGUAAUACGGAGGGUGCAAGCGUUGUUCGGAUUUACUGGGUGUAAAGGGCGCGUAGGCGGGUUUGUUAGUCAGAGGUGAAAUCCUGCGGCUUAACCGUAGAACUGCCUUUGAUACUGCAGAUCUUGAGUAUGGAAGAGAGAGACGGAAUUCCAGGUGUAGUGGUGAAAUACGUAGAUAUCGGAAGGAACACCAGUGGCGAAGGCGACUUCCUGGGCCAAUACUGACGCUGAGGUGCGAAAGCGUGGGGAGCAAACAGGAUUAGAUA